AAUAUGAGAUGAACUCUGAUGGGUAAGAUUUGCACAAAACCUGGUCGAUACAAUUUGUUCAAAUGUAUGUAAGAGUUAUGAUAGAAGAAUUACAAACUUCAUGUUGGGAAAGUUCAGUACCUCCGCUGAGGCGGUAAGGCGGACGCCUAGCAAGGCGAGCAAGGCGGGCGCCUAGGCGAGCAAGGCGCAAAUCGGUGGACGGCGCAUGGACGCCUAGGCGUCGCCUAGGCGACGCCUUGAGAACAGAGACUAGAAGACUUGCGAGCCUUUCGUGUCAAAAGUUAUUCUUGAAGAAGAUGUACGAUAACACACAACAUCAUGACACAACUGGACAGAUCCACAUGUACCCUAUAUUGGGUUGUCAAUUGUCCCAAUGGUGUACCACUAGGAAGUAUCUCUGAAACAAAAUGUAGGAAGAUGUGACAACACAGAGUUCAGCGCAAGAUCAAAUAUGGAGCGAAUAAACUCACCAGUUGAUCAGCAAGCAUAAGCACUGUUUUCAUUGAAAGUUUCCUGUUGCAGCAGUUAAACAAGUCUUCCAAGCUUGGGCCAAGAAGAUCGAUGACCAUAACGUUGUACUCCCCCUCGACACCAUACCACUUCAGGUGUGGGAUACCAUCUAUAUUAAAAAAAAUGUGAAUUAAUAAGAGAUUUAGAGGUUUGAGCACAGAUUGCUAUAAACAAAAGAUAUAAAUACAAUUCACUUACUUC